UCCUACGGGGGGCAGCAGUGAGGAAUAUUGGUCAAUGGGCGGGAGCCUGGACCAGCCAAGUCGCGUGAGGGACGACGGUCCUAUGGAUUGUAAACCUCUUUUGUCGGGGAACAAAGGCGUCCACGGGUGGGCGGAUGAGUGUACCCGAAGAAAAAGCAUCGGCUAACUCCGUGCCAGCAGCCGCGGUAAUACGGAGGAUGCGAGCGUUAUCCGGAUUUAUUGGGUUUAAAGGGUGCGUAGGCGGACAGUCAAGUCAGCGGUAAAAAUGCGGUGCUCAACGCUGUACAGCCGUUGAAACUGGCAGU
rnacentral:rRNA from 1 species